rnacentral:rRNA from 1 species
GCCAGCAGCCGCGGUAAUACCGGCAGCCCGAGUGAUGGCCGAUCUUAUUGGGCCUAAAGCGUCCGUAGCUGGCUGCGCAAGUCCGUCGGGAAAUCCACUCGCCCAACGAGUGGGCGUCCGACGGAAACUGCACAGCUUGGGACCGGAAGGCUCGAAGGGUACGUUCGGGGUAGGAGUGAAAUCCCAUAAUCCCGCACGGACCACCGAUGGCGAAAGCACUUCGAGAAAACGGAUCCGACAGUGAGGGACGAAAGCCAGGGUCUCCAACCGGAUUAGAAACCCGAGUAGUCC